rnacentral:rRNA from 1 species
UGCUCGAUAUGUUGAGUGGAGGACGAGAAUACGUUUCAUGCGCUUGUUAUGUGCCCCAAGGCUCGUGCGUUGCGCAUGGCUAUGAGAGAUACUUGGGAGUUACCGUCGGAGAAUGCAUUUAGGUAUACUGGGUCGGAUUGGUUUCUUGUUCUCCUAAGUCAAGUGGGUCAGUCUAUGAGGGACAAAAUUAUUUUCAUUUUCCGGAGAGCCUGGCACUUGAGAAAUGAUUUGAUUUUUGGCAAGGGCACGGAGUCAGUCACAAAUUCGACCAAUUUUAUUUAUAAUUAUUGGUCGUCCUUUGGCGCAAGUCAUUCAAGGCCAUUGGAGGAUUCACAGAAUAGUUAUAUCAAAAUUAAUGUCGAUGCAAGUUUUGUGGAUAGUAUUAGCGCGACAAGUGUGGGUGCGGUGGCUAGGGAUUCUGCUGGCAAAGUCAUGGUCUCUUUGUGGGACUACAUUGGGAGGUGUAAUAGCGUGGAGGAAGCAGAACUCCGAGCCUGCAUUGCUGGUCUCUAUAUAGGUAUAACACUUCAUUCUUCUAUAAUUUUAGAGACUGACUGCACUUUGUUGCAGCAAAUUUUGCAAAAGAAUUUGAGGAUAGAUCAGCUCUGCACGAUCUGA